UACAGAGGUCCCAAGCGUUGUUCGGAUUCACUGGGCGUAAAGAGCUCGUAGGCGGUGUGUCACGUCGGCCGUGAAAACCUGCAGCUUAACUGUGGGCGUGCGGUCGAUACGGGCAUCACUGGAGUUCGGCAGGGGAGACUGGAAUUCCUGGUGUAGCGGUGAAAUGCGCAGAUAUCAGGAGGAACACCGGUGGCGAAGGCGGCUUGCUGGGCCAGUUCUGACGCUGAGGAGCGAAAGCGUGGGGAGCGAACAGG
rnacentral:rRNA from 1 species